CCUACGGGAGGCAGCAGUGAGGAAUAUUGGUCAAUGGACGAGAGUCUGAACCAGCCAAGCAGCGUGAAGGAUGACUGCCCUAUGGGUUGUAAACUUCUUUUAUAUGGGAAUAAAAUGUUCCACGUGUGGGAUUUUGUAUGUACCAUAUGAAUAAGGAUCGGCUCACUCCGUGCCAGCAGCCGCGGUAAUACGGAGGAUCCGAGCGUUAUCCGGAUUUAUUGGGUUUAAAGGGAGCGUAGGUGGUUUGUUAAGUCAGUUGUGAAAGUUUGCGGCUCAACCGUAAAAUUGCAGUUGAAACUGGCAGUCUUGAGUGCAGUAGAGGUGGGCGGAAUUCGUGGUGUAGCGGUGAAAUGCUUAGAUAUCACGAAGAACUCCGAUUGCGAAGGCAGCUCACUGGACUGCAACUGACGCUGAGGCUCGAAAGUGUGGGUAGCAAACAGGAUUAGAUACCCGAGUAGUC
rnacentral:rRNA from 1 species